ACCAGCACUUCAAGUGGUCGGGAUGAUUAUUGGGCUUAAAGUGUCCGUAGCCGGUUUAGUAAGUUCCUGGUGAAAUCAGGUAGCUUAACUAUCUGUAUGCUAGGAAUACUACUAUACUAGAGGGCGGGAGAGGUCUGAGGUACUAUAGGGGUAGGGGUGAAAUCUUAUAAUCCUUGUAGGACCACCAGUGGCGAAGGCGUCAGACUGGAACGUGCCUGACGGUGAGGGACGAAAGCCAGGGGAGCGAACCGGAUUAGAUACCCGGGUAGUCUUGGCCGUAAACGAUGCAUACUAGGUGAUGGCCCGGCCAUGAGCCGUGUCAGUGCCGUAGGGAAACCGUUAAGUGUGCCGCCUGGGAAGUACGGUCGCAAGGCUAAAACUUAAAGGAAUUGGCGGGGAGCACCACAAGGGGUGAGGCUUGCGGUUC
rnacentral:rRNA from 1 species